rnacentral:rRNA from 1 species
CCUUUAUGGAGAGUUUGAUCCUGGCUCAGGACGAACGCUGGCGGCGUGCCUAAUACAUGCAAGUCGAGCGGAGUUUAUCCUUCGGGAUAAGCUUAGCGGCGGACGGGUGAGUAACACGUAGGCAACCUGCCCCAUGAACUGGGAUAACUACCGGAAACGGUAGCUAAUACCGGAUAAUUCCUCUUUUCGCCUGAAGGGAGGAUGAAAGACGGAGCAAUCUGUCAUCACGGGAUGGGCCUGCGGCGCAUUAGCUAGUUGGUGGGGUAACGGCUCACCAAGGCGACGAUGCGUAGCCGACCUGAGAGGG